rnacentral:misc_RNA from 1 species
GCCAGCCAUUACAGCUUCGAUCUCCCAUGUUUCUCGUGGACAGUUUGUAAGGUUCUUGCAACCGUUAGCCGUAACAUACAGAUCACUUUCAAUUCGUACUCCACCAAAGUUCUUGUAUCUGUCAAUUUUUUCACGGUUAAAGUACUUCGAUGUAAUGGAGUCUUCCAUAGCUGGAACUAGUAGGGCAUCAAUGAAAUAGCAUCCUGGCUCAACUGUUAUUACCAUGCCCUCUUGCAGUUCUCUUAUAGUCCGUAAAGACUUUAAUCCUGGCUCCUUUAGUCUCUCCGUUCCCUUAGCAUAGCCUCCUGGAUCAUGGGUAUCAAUCCCAAGGAAGUGUCCAAGACCAUGGGGCAUAAAUACAGCCCCUAAUCUUCUGCUCAUCAUAUCAUCCACGUCACCAAGAAGAAUUCCCUCUGCCUUCAGUGACUCAAGGAUCGUCUUCUCUGCUAAU